rnacentral:rRNA from 1 species
GGUGGCGAGUGGCGGACGGGUGAGUAAUGNCUGGGGAUCUGCCCGGUAGAGGGGGAUAACCACUGGAAACGGUGGCUAAUACCGCAUAACGUCGCAAGACCAAAGAGGGGGACCUUCGGGCCUCUCACUAUCGGAUGAACCCAGAUGGGAUUAGCUAGUAGGUGGGGUAACGGCUCACCUAGGCGACGAUCCCUAGCUGGUCUGAGAGGAUGACCAGCCACACUGGAACUGAGACACGGUCCAGACUCCUACGGGAGGCAGCAGUGGGGAAUAUUGCACAAUGGGCGCAAGCCUGAUGCAGCCAUGCCGCGUGUAUGAAGAAGGCCUUCGGGUUGUAAAGUACUUUCAGCGGGGAGGAAGGGAUGAAGCUUAAUACGCUUNGUCAUUGACGUUACCCGCAGAAGAAGCACCGGCUUACUCCGUGCCA